GAUGAACGCUGGCGGCGUGCUUAACACAUGCAAGUCGAACGGAAAGGCUCCUGCUUGCAGGGGUACUCGAGUGGCGAACGGGUGAGUAACACGUGGGUGAUCUGCCCUGCACUUCGGGAUAAGCCUGGGAAACUGGGUCUAAUACCGGAUAGGACGAUGGUUUGGAUGCCAUUGUGGAAAGUUUUUCGGUGUGGGAUGAGCUCGCGGCCUAUCAGCUUGUUGGUGGGGUAAUGGCCUACCAAGGCGUCGACGGGUAGCCGGCCUGAGAGGGUGUACGGCCACAUUGGGACUGAGAUACGGACCAGACGCCUACGGGAGGCAGCAGUGGGGAAUAUUGCACAAUGGGCGCAAGCCUGAUGCAGCGACGCCGCGUGGGGGAUGACGGCCUUCGGGUUGUAAACUCCUUUCGCUAGGGACGAAGCGCAAGUGACGGUACCUGGAGAAGAAGCACCGGCUAACUACGUG
rnacentral:rRNA from 1 species